UGGGGAAUUUUGGACAAUGGGGGAAACCCUGAUCCAGCCAUCCCGCGUGUGCGAUGAAGGCCUUCGGGUUGUAAAGCACUUUUGGCAGGAAAGAAACGUCGCGGGUUAAUACCCCGCGAAACUGACGGUACCUGCAGAAUAAGCACCGGCUAACUACGUGCCAGCAGCCGCGGUAAUACGUAGGGUGCAAGCGUUAAUCGGAAUUACUGGGCGUAAAGCGUGCGCAGGCGGUUCGGAAAGAAAGAUGUGAAAUCCCAGAGCUUAACUUUGGAACUGCAUUUUUAACUACCGGGCUAGAGUGUGUCAGAGGGAGGUGGAAUUCCGCGUGUAGCAGUGAAAUGCGUAGAUAUGCGGAGGAACACCGAUGGCGAAGGCAGCCUCCUGGGAUAACACUGACGCUCAUGCACGAAAGCGUGGGGAGCAAACAGGAUUAGAUACCCUGGUAGUCCACGCCCUAAACGAUGUCAACUAGCUGUUGGGGCCUUCGGGCCUUGGUAGCGCAGCUAACGCGUGAAGUUGACCGCCUGGGGGAGUNCGGUCGCAAGAUUAAAACUCAAAUGAAUUGAC
rnacentral:rRNA from 1 species